AAGAAAAAAAAAUGUAACAGUAUGAAUCACCUCCUUAAUCAUGCAUUUUAAGAUAGCUUUCGUUGCAGAAGAGGAAAAAAAAGGGGUACUGAGUGAAAAACACGAUCGAAGAGAUUCAAACUUGCUAUCUUACUUUCCCCUUUCAACAAGUUUUCUCGGCACCAAAACAGUAAAGGAAAAAACCAGUCGCAGUGCAAGAGAAAAGCAAGAUACAUCAAGAAUCAAGUACACGUGUGCAUCCUCAGAUCAGAAACAGAGGAAUAGCAUACAGGGCCAAAGGAAAUGUAGACAAAUUUCGAAGAAAUCGAUGAGAACAAAGGAAAAACGGAGAGAGCAUAUACCUGUAUGUGUGGUGGUGAUAGGAAGAAGA
rnacentral:misc_RNA from 1 species